CACACUAUCAUUAACUGAAUCCAUAGGUUAAUGAGGCGAACCGGGGGAACUGAAACAUCUAAGUACCCCGAGGAAAAGAAAUCAACCGAGAUUCCCCCAGUAGCGGCGAGCGAACGGGGAGGAGCCCAGAGCCUGAAUCAGUGUGUGUGUUAGUGGAAGCGUCUGGAAAGGCGCGCGAUACAGGGUGACAGCCCCGUACACAAAAAUGCACAUAUUGUGAGCUCGAUGAGUAGGGCGGGACACGUGGUAUCCUGUCUGAAUAUGGGGGGACCAUCCUCCAAGGCUAAAUACUCCUGACUGACCGAUAGUGAACCAGUACCGUGAGGGAAAGGCGAAAAGAACCCCGGCGAGGGGAGUGAAAAAGAACCUGAAACCGUGUACGUACAAGCAGUGGGAGCCUCUUUAUGGGGUGACUGCGUACCUUUUGUAUAAUGGGUCAGCGACUUAUAUUCUGUAGCAAGGUUAACCGAAUAGGGGAGCCGAAGGGAAACCGAGUCUUAACUGGGCGUUAAGUUGCAGGGUAUAGACCCGAAACCCGGUGAUCUAGCCAUGGGCAGGUUGAAGGUUGGGUAACACUAACUGGAGGACCGAACCGACUAAUGUUGAAAAAUUAGCGGAUGACUUGUGGCUGGGGGUGAAAGGCCAAUCAAACCGGGAGAUAGCUGGUUCUCCCCGAAAGCUAUUUAGGUAGCGCCUCGUGAAUUCAUCUCCGGGGGUAGAGCACUGUUUCGGCAAGGGGGUCAUCCCGACUUACCAACCCGAUGCAAACUGCGAAUACCGGAGAAUGUUAUCACGGGAGACACACGGCGGGUGCUAACGUCCGUCGUGAAGAGGGAAACAACCCAGACCGCCAGCUAAGGUCCCAAAGUCAUGGUUAAGUGGGAAACGAUGUGGGAAGGCCCAGACAGCCAGGAUGUUGGCUUAGAAGCAGCCAUCAUUUAAAGAAAGCGUAAUAGCCCACUGGUCGAGUCGGCCUGCGCGGAAGAUGUAACGGGGCUAAACCAUGCACCGAAGCUGCGGCAGCGACACUAUGUGUUGUUGGGUAGGGGAGCGUUCUGUAAGCCUGUGAAGGUGGCCUGUGAGGGUUGCUGGAGGUAUCAGAAGUGCGAAUGCUGACAUAAGUAACGAUAAAGCGGGUGAAAAGCCCGCUCGCCGGAAGACCAAGGGUUCCUGUCCAACGUUAAUCGGGGCAGGGUGAGUCGACCCCUAAGGCGAGGCCGAAAGGCGUAGUCGAUGGGAAACAGGUUAAUAUUCCUGUACUUGGUGUUACUGCGAAGGGGGGACGGAGAAGGCUAUGUUGGCCGGGCGACGGUUGUCCCGGUUUAAGCGUGUAGGCUGGUUUUCCAGGCAAAUCCGGAAAACCAAGGCUGAGGCGUGAUGACGAGGCACUACGGUGCUGAAGCGACAAAUGCCCUGCUUCCAGGAAAAGCCUCUAAGCAUCAGGUAACAUCAAAUCGUACCCCAAACCGACACAGGUGGUCAGGUAGAGAAUACCAAGGCGCUUGAGAGAACUCGGGUGAAGGAACUAGGCAAAAUGGUGCCGUAACUUCGGGAGAAGGCACGCUGAUAUGUAGGUGAAGCGACUUGCUCGUGGAGCUGAAAUCAGUCGAAGAUACCAGCUGGCUGCAACUGUUUAUUAAAAACACAGCACUGUGCAAACACGAAAGUGGACGUAUACGGUGUGACGCCUGCCCGGUGCCGGAAGGUUAAUUGAUGGGGUUAGCGGUAACGCGAAGCUCUUGAUCGAAGCCCCGGUAAACGGCGGCCGUAACUAUAACGGUCCUAAGGUAGCGAAAUUCCUUGUCGGGUAAGUUCCGACCUGCACGAAUGGCGUAAUGAUGGCCAGGCUGUCUCCACCCGAGACUCAGUGAAAUUGAACUCGCUGUGAAGAUGCAGUGUACCCGCGGCAAGACGGAAAGACCCCGUGAACCUUUACUAUAGCUUGACACUGAACAUUGAGCCUUGAUGUGUAGGAUAGGUGGGAGGCUUUGAAGUGUGGACGCCAGUCUGCAUGGAGCCGACCUUGAAAUACCACCCUUUAAUGUUUGAUGUUCUAACGUUGGCCCGUAAUCCGGGUUGCGGACAGUGUCUGGUGGGUAGUUUGACUGGGGCGGUCUCCUCCUAAAGAGUAACGGAGGAGCACGAAGGUUGGCUAAUCCUGGUCGGACAUCAGGAGGUUAGUGCAAUGGCAUAAGCCAGCUUGACUGCGAGCGUGACGGCGCGAGCAGGUGCGAAAGCAGGUCAUAGUGAUCCGGUGGUUCUGAAUGGAAGGGCCAUCGCUCAACGGAUAAAAGGUACUCCGGGGAUAACAGGCUGAUACCGCCCAAGAGUUCAUAUCGACGGCGGUGUUUGGCACCUCGAUGUCGGCUCAUCACAUCCUGGGGCUGAAGUAGGUCCCAAGGGUAUGGCUGUUCGCCAUUUAAAGUGGUACGCGAGCUGGGUUUAGAACGUCGUGAGACAGUUCGGUCCCUAUCUGCCGUGGGCGCUGGAGAACUGAGGGGGGCUGCUCCUAGUACGAGAGGACCGGAGUGGACGCAUCACUGGUGUUCGGGUUGUCAUGCCAAUGGCACUGCCCGGUAGCUAAAUGCGGAAGAGAUAAGUGCUGAAAGCAUCUAAGCACGAAACUUGCCCCGAGAUGAGUUCUCCCUGAGUCCUAGAGACUCCUGAAGGAACGUUGAAGACGACGACGUUGAUAGGCCGGGUGUGUAAGCGCAGCGAUGCGUUGAGCUAACCGGUACUAAUGAACCGUGAGGCUUAACCUU
rnacentral:rRNA from 1 species